UGCGUCUCGUUGGUAACUACGCCGGACUUCCGCCAAAACGCAGGCUCGCGCCCCACGUCGCGGUGACGUCACGGGAGCGCCGUGUCCUCGGGGCGGAAUGGAACCUGUUGACUGUACUGAACGUCGUUUCCCUGAAUCCUGUAAUGUAAGGUGCCCCAAGAGUGUAUAACGAUGUCUUAAAAAAAAGUUUUUAAAGUUUAAUUUUUUAAGGUUACGAAUUCGUAGGUUUUAAGAGAAAGAACAAAAUAUCUAGAACUUUGUUUUCAACAAGAUCAUAGUUGAUCCUUUGUGUACGCAUUUUCAGCCAUGAUAAUUUUAGGUGCUAAGCUCAAAAUGUGAAACUGAAUUUCCCAUCUGUCUUUAAUUGUUGUUGUUGUUAACAGCACCAGCUAGAUCAAAACAUUGCGCUUUAUCUCAUUCUUCAUACACAGGUAAUGCGGAAUCCUGUAGUUUAUAGUCUGAAAUAUUCCGGAACUUUACUGCCAGUGGCUCAUUAUGCCUCACCUGGAUCACUGCGAUAUCCUUCUAACUAGUUUUCCUCCUUGAGUUUUCUGCCACUCAGGUUGUUCCGUGUCUUGGCUGUUGUGAAUAGUGCUGCUAUGGACAUAGGGGGAGGCGCACCUGUCCUGACGAUGUCCCUGGUGAUACCUGCGAUUGCUUCGCUCACUUACCUGUUACUUUCAAAAACUUGCUUCCCAUUCCCAAACCUUGGACUUGAUAUAGUUCCCUACCAUGGAAGUGGGAGGAGCAAAACAAAGUAUUUAAAAUUGUCUGGAGUAUAUGUCCUGGUGUGGGAACAGGCAAAAAUACAGGCACUGUGUGUGCACAGACAGAGCUGCUACCAGGUGGGGUUCUGGAUAGCUCCCCUGAGGAAUAGCAAUUUGCGUUGUGUGACAGUAAACUAAUUUUAAAUUUUA